UGGGGAAUAUUGCACAAUGGGCGAAAGCCUGAUGCAGCAACGCCGCGUGCGGGAUGACGGCCUUCGGGUUGUAAACCGCUUUCAGCAGGGACGAAGUGAAAAUGACGGUACCUGCAGAAGAAGCACCGGCUAACUACGUGCCAGCAGCCGCGGUGAUACGUAGGGUGCGAGCGUUGUCCGGAAUUAUUGGGUGUAAAGAGCUUGUAGGCGGUCUGUUGCGUCGGAAGUGAAAACUCAGGGCUUAACCCUGAGCCUGCUUUCGAUACGGGCAGACUUGAGGGAUGUAGGGGAGAACGGAAUUCCUGGUGGAGCGGUGGAAUGCGCAGAUAUCAGGAGGAACACCAGUGGCGAAGGCGGUUCUCUGGACAUUUCCUGACGCUGAGAAGCGAAAGCGUGGGGAGCAAACA
rnacentral:rRNA from 1 species